UACGGAGGAUCCAAGCGUUAUCCGGAUUUAUUGGGUUUAAAGGGUGCGUAGGCGGCUUAUUAAGUCAGAGGUGAAAGCCUGGAGCUUAACUCCAGAACUGCCUUUGAUACUGAUGAGCUUGAAUAUAGUUGAGGUAGGCGGAAUGUGUCAUGUAGCGGUGAAAUGCUUAGAUAUGACACAGAACACCGAUUGCGAAGGCAGCUUGCUAAACUAUAAUUGACGCUGAGGCACUAAAGCGUGGGGAUCAAACAGGAUUAGAUACCCGGGUAGU
rnacentral:rRNA from 1 species